AUCAGAGCAACCCCUCUUGUCUGUGUAUAUAUGUAUAUAUGUCCAAGAAAUAGUUAAAUACUUAUUGUGCCACCGGAGUAAUAAAGCAGCACAAGGUGCAAGUGGUGAAGAGUUAGUUUUAGCUCGCAAGAGGCAUGGGUUGGAAUCCGACCUUGUACACCUUUAAAUAUCCUUAGCACGUUGCACUUAGGCUCAAUUCAACCUAAUAAAGAUAGUUUCCUGCUGUUUUAGUUAAUUUCUGCUUCUUAGCGUGUUGGUUUGAAGCUUAACUUCACUUUUACUGGUCAAAGGUUCGAAGAACGAUUUAGUAUCUUUUUGACAAACAGGCGGAGUGCUGGCCCGUGAAGAACUCCCAGGUUCAGAGAAUGAAG
rnacentral:lncRNA from 1 species